AUGUAGAGAUGACAACUGAGAUAUUUAUACAUUAGAAAUCUAGUUGUGUAUUUGUUAGUGCAGACCUGCUUGGAGAAAGAGUGUAAUGUGUGUCUCAAAUUUGCCUUGUCAGGGUUCGUAGCGGUCUUUGAAAUCCUUGAAAGUCUCUAAAUCUGAGUCUUUGAAUUGUGUGAAAAAGCGAAGAAAGUCUUUAAAAGUCUUUAAAUUCCUUAGUGAGUAUUUGAUUAUACGAUUUCCUAGCUAACAAAAUAGAUGGAUUGAACCAAGAUUUUUGCAAAUAUCGACGAAAAGGCGCAUUUUAGGAUGUGAUUUGACGGGACUAAUUACUGGGUAAAAAUGGUGCUUACACUCGCAAUUUUUCGACAGC